AUGCUCACAUGGAAACCUUUGAUCAAGGAAGAGGUUUUACCCUUAAUAAACUCUGGUCUCUGGGAUAUUGGAACACUGUCGCCCACAGUUAGCGAGAUAGACAACCCAGAUUCACUAGAGCCACUUACUCCGAACCACAUUUUAACUGGGAAGACUUCAUCUCCUCUUCCCCCUCCAGAAGAGUUCCUGAAGAAAGAUAUGUAUAUCCGCAAACGUUGGAGACCCUGUUCAGUUCUUUACGGAAAAGUUUUGGUCGCGAUGGAGACGAGAUUACUUGGCCCAGAUUACCUUGCGACAGAAGUGGCACGAAGUACGUUGGAACAUGAAGGAAGGAGACAUUGUUUUAGUGAAGGACGUCGAUUUGCCGCGCAACCAAUGGCCUCUUGGUAG
rnacentral:sRNA from 1 species